AUUUUCGGCAGGGAUCAUAAAGAAACGCCUUUCUUUCUCCAAUAAAUAACCCGAGAACCGUCGGCCGCAUCGAUGACCAUGGUGUAGCCCUAGUGGUCGAUCGACCCCUCUUGUUCAUGUCCUUGCGCUUCUCCCUCUCCUCCUUGCCCCCCUUUUGUCGGAACGCUGUCCUCUUCCUGAUCCCCGCCUCGCGACCUCUCAUGGCGCCGACCAAGGUGGUCGCGGAGUACGCCAAGUCCGGCCGGUCCUCGUGCAAGAGCUGCAGUAAGGCGAUCGCGGCCGGCGCGCUGCGGCUCGGCUCCUCGGCCAAUGACCCGCGUGGGUUCGAUCUCGUCCGUUGGUUCCACGUUGAUUGCUUCCCGGCCGCGUCCCUCGCCCUUGCCGCCGCCGACGAGAUCGUCGGCUUUUCAUCUUUGAAGGACCACGAAAAGGACGCAUUGAGGAAGCUGGAGCCUUCCGCAUCAUCAAACCAAAUAACUGAAGAGGUCCAUAAAAGAUGUCGUGGUGCAUAUGUGAAGAUGGAGGCAAAGAGUUCAAAGAAACCAAAGAUCUGCAUUGCGGAUGAAGCUGGGAGUGAAGAUUUGGUGGAAGAGAGACCAGAGGGACAAAAGGCUGGUUCUCAUCUAUCUGUAAAUGCAAAACACAAUUUCCUACAGAUGGAUUUUCAUAUUUCUGACACCAAAGAUAGGUACAAGGAUGCCACACUACCACCAAAAUGGAUAGCCUUUAGGACAAUAAUUUUUAAUGAGAAGGAAGAUGGCUUCCAUGAUUCAGAAAGAAUUGCUGCAUUUGAUUUUGAUGGUUGUCUUGUGAAUACAUCUGUGAAAAGAAUUGGUCCUGAUGCUUGGUCUCUUAUGUAUCCAUCAAUUCCAGAGAAAUUGCAAGAACUAUAUAAGGGGGGCUACAAGCUGGUUAUUUUUACCAAUGAAUCCAAUAUUGAGCGUUGGAAGAACAAGCGACAACAAGCAGUGGAUUCCAAAAUAGGACGGCUUGAAAACUUCAUCAAGUGUGUUAAAGUACCAAUUCAGGUAUUUAUCGCUUGUGGGCUGGGGAAGAACAAGGAUGGGACUGAUGAUCCUUUUCGGAAACCACAACCAGGAAUGUGGAAACUAAUGGAGGAACACUUCAAUUCUAGCAUUGCAGUCGACAUGGAUCAGUAAAAUCAUCAUUUCUAAUCUCACUUUUCACCCUCUUCAUCCUGCACAUUUCCACAUAGGAAGAUCCUUUUAUGUUGGUGAUGCAGCAGGAAGAACUAAUGAUCACAGUGAUGCAGAUAUAAAAUUUGCCAAGGUGGUGGGAUUGAAAUUUUACGUUCCGGAAGAGUUCUUUGGAGCAUAAGAUGACCUUUCCAUCUGCCGCCUCAACUUUUUGUGGGUAUAUAUACUUUUUCUUGGUAGACUAGUGUGGACACCAUGGGCGAUGUACUUACUGUGUGGUAGUAUGGUUAAUCUUCUCGGUUGGCUCAUUGGAGCCAAUUUAUCUGGUGGCUGCAGAACAAGCAGCGGAUUCUCUCAAAAGAUUGAUCUCAGUCAGCGUCAACGUUCUGUUCCGCAUGCAAUGUAUUCACAAUCGUGUCUUUUUUAUUUAUUUAUUUAUUUUUUCUUUGA